UACGUAGGGUGCAAGCGUUAUCCGGAAUUAUUGGGCGUAAAGAGCUCGUAGGCGGUUUGUCGCGUCUGCUGUGAAAACCCGAGGCUCAACCUCGGGCCUGCAGUGGGUACGGGCAGACGUAGAGUGCGGUAGGGGAGAUUGGAAUUCCUGGUGUAGCGGUGGAAUGCGCAGAUAGUCACGGAGGAACACCGAUGGCGAAG
rnacentral:rRNA from 1 species